rnacentral:rRNA from 1 species
UGGUGGUGUAAUUUGUCUGGUUAAUUCCAAUAAUAAACAAGACCCCGCCUGCUAACUAGUCCAAUGAGUAAUUUUUACAGAUUGAUGACUGCUUAGAGGGAUGUGCAUUUUAUGGGGCAAUGGUA